CUAAUUGAAAAUGCACUGGGGAAAUCGAGGAAGUUCAGGGGUGGGGGUAAGCAGUGUUCCAAAGGAAAGUGGGGCGCAUAGGCGUGGGUGAAUUGGGGUGCUGAGAAGGACCAGAGGUGCAGGGCAUGGGAGCUCAAAACAACAAGUUUUAGUGGGCUAAAGGAGAAGCCAUGGGGGAUGUUGGGGGAGUUGCAGGGUGAACUUCAGGGAAAGUAGGGGACACCCAUGGGGAGAGGGAAUCUUUGAUUGUGAUUAUACUCAUUGCUUUGUCCAGAGUUACACUGGAAACAUAGAGAGAGCCGUGCCCUCAAGGAGCUUACACUCUAAGAUGCAGGGAGGGAGACAAGGGUAUGAAAUAGAAACGCUGAGAAGCGGUCCACUUUGUGGAGGAUGGUGAAGGGACAAAGCCUGGUAAAAGCCCUGUUGAAAAGGUGGGUUUUGAGGAUGGGGGCUAAUGGGGAAACUGGGAUCCAUAGCUGAGUGAACUUGGCCUGAGAGCAGUAUGGGAGGAAGCUGAGAGAGAUUUGGGCCUUUAAUUGAGUGAGCUGGAGGGAAGGUGCAGAGCCUGAACUCAGGAGGAGCAUAGAAAAAAUGGGGAUCCAGGGGGAUCGAGUGAGGGAAAGCUGAAAGUGUGGGAGCAUGGAUGGGAAACCUGUGGCCUUUAAGAUGUUGGACUCCAGUUCCCAUCAUCCCCAGCCACAAGAGGCCGUAGUCUGGGAUGAUGGAAGUUGUAGUACAGCUGGAAGGCACCUUGAAUGGUACUGAAAGGGAACACACAUCUUCCAUUUUUUUUUAAUUGGUACCCACAGUGAUUUACAUGUGCAAAGGAUGAUUGCAUCAUAUAUUUAUUUAUUUAUUGCAUUAAAAGUUGUUUCAGUUAUAUAUUCCACGUUGCUCAGGUGGGAUACAGGCCUUCCAUUCUCACAACAGCUCUGUGUCAUAGGUUAGACCAGGGGUUGCCAACCUGCUGGGCGUGAAAGCUUCUGUUGGUGCUCCAGACUCUGAGCUUUCAUUUAAAAUAGAAUUAAGCCCUCUUAGAAAGAAAGUUAUGGGGCAAAAUUUACAGGUGACUUCCAAGUGAUUUCUGUGAGAUGAGAGUGGUAUGGCUCCCUUCUAUGUUUUUUUACUUGUACUGAAGAAUGCUCUAUUGUUAUUACAUAGCAACAGCAUCGGUGUGCAUAUGCAAUCUCCAUAAUUAGGAGCAGCAGGGUAUAGCUGACUUCCCAUGGUAAGCAAAAGGUUGUCAGAGGUAGUUGUCUCUGUGAUUUUGUGUAAUGUCACACACUCCACAGCAGCUAUUUUGUGUUAUGCCAUGCCCCCUUUGUGGUAGUAAUUUUGUGACUGGUGCCUCAGCACUCUCUCAAAAUUUGAAAUGUUCCCAGUAGUCCAAAAAGGUUAGCGACCCCUGGUUAGACAGAGAAACUGGUUACAGUCACAUUGGGCUUUAUGGCUGAGUGAGGAUUUAAACUGCGGUGUGCAAGAGACUUAAAUAAGAACAGGAAAAUCGACAAUGGUUAAAAAAAAAACUUGCCCUUUCCACUUUCGUUUCGUUUCUGCCUAGAAGUAGGGCUGUUGUGGCCCUUGGAUACAAGAACAUAAAUUCCCAAUUCCAACCCUUACUCCACCUUUCCUUUCUGAUUAAUACUAAAUGUUGAUGGUGCAACAUGUUUACUUAGGAAUCACUCCCAAAUAAGUAUGCACAGAAUUGUUGCCCAAGCCUAAAAAAACCUGACAUAAUCUGAGAGGAUGCAUGAAAAUUUGCUUCCUUUCCUUUUUUGCCUGACAAAAAAACAUUCUGAAUAACUCGAAAGGCUUAUAUAUUAUUUCACCAAUGUAAAUUAAGCAAAUAAGACAUCUUUUAAAAAGUAAAAAGAGCCCUGCUGGAUCAAACCAAGGCAGGUCCAUUGUCUUGCUUUCCUGGGUCAUAAACCAGAUGCCUCUUAGGUUUAAGCAGCAUACACACAAUAUAAUCUACAUUCAAUGCGCACUGAGAUUUCUCUCCCCCCCCCACCUAAUCCACACACAAUCUGGACCUUUUGCACAUUUUAUGCCCCUGAAAAGCACUUUUUCACAAACUAGUUUCAUUUCAAAAAUAAAAGCUCAAUGCAGAUUGAUUCUGCAAUUCAGGUAGGUAGCCAUAUUGGUCUGACACAGUAGAAAUAUAUAUAUAUAUAUAUAUAUAUUGUCCAGUAGCACCUUAAGAGACCAACUAAGUUUGUUCUUGGUAUGAGCUUUUGUGUGCAUGCACACUUCUUCAGAUACUUUUUCUGAAGAAGUGUGCAUGCACACGAAAGCUCAUACCAAGAACAAACUUAGUUGGUCUCUAAGGUGCUACUAGUCAAUUUUUUAAUUUUUUAAUAUAUAUUUCUAUUGAUUCUGCAAUGCAUUUGAAAAUGGACAGAGGUGGUCCCAGUAUACUUUGCCCAAUGCUGUCGUAUGGAAGCAUGUACCAAGAUCGCAAUUGCCACUUCUUCACAUGUGCAAAGAAGAAAGGGGGAGGGUUUUCAAAUGCAUAUCAAGUAACCACACACAUCUUUGUGGACAGCAUGAUCUAUAAUGGAAAGAAGCACAUUGUGGACAAGUGUGCACUCAAACAACUAGUUUUUGCUUUAAAUGGAUAAAUAUGUACACAGACUUAGGGGACCAUUGUUUGGAUGAAGCCUGCAACCUUUUUUCUGUAGCAGUUCCUCAGCAACUGGUGCUCAGUGGCAUACUGCCUAUGAACCAGGAGUGUACCACAAAAUUAAUCUGGAUAUCUUUUAAGAGGGCAGUAAAAAAGCAACUAACGCCUGAAUUCUAUCAGCAACUCAUGGCUUAAACCAAUACUGUUUACAUAUCUCAGAAUUAUAUCAGUUAAGCCUAUGCACUACCACACAGGAUUUUUCCAAGUUCUCAAAGGUAUUAAAACUUUCAAUUUACUUUGCUCCCUUGCCAUCCUAUAAUAACAAAUUUGUUUGCAGUCUGACUGAACUAAAAGCAUAAUAUCCCUUAGUCAUCUGACAAACUGUCCUUAUUUCUCUCUCCCAGGUAGACCAUUUUGUGAUAAAUGGUUUUGAGGGCUCAUACUAUAUGCAAUAUUUACACAUUUUUAAAAUAAUGAAACCAUUGAAAAGUAGGUGUUUCUAAAAUAAAACCCAGUCUUAAUUGCAUUCUGCAACAUUUCAGGAAAUUCAAAAGUACCCAUUCAUUGGAUUUCUGAAUGUCCAUUGAGCUACUGAACAGUCCUUGACUGCUUUGAACCCAGCAAUCUUCAGCUGAUCCAGACCCAGAACCCACCUCGGACACCCAACCUACAACAUAGAACUUUCACUUUCAAUUACUACUAAUAACACACAUUGCUAAUCCUAAAAUGGCAGUUAAGAGGAAUACUGUAUACAUAGCGUUACCUUGGUACUACUAUUACCAGGGAUAUUUUGCCCCUUAUGUCACCUUUCCUGUGUAUAUAACGGGAUACAUAAUCAAAGGAACGGGGGAGGACAGGCAAAGCCCGCCUUGGGAAGCAGUCUCUGUGCCACAAAUUAUUUUUGUCCAGUAGAAGUGUUGCCUAUCUAACCCUCUUUCUGGUACUGCAGCGCAGCAGCACAGGCAGCUAGCUUCCUUGGUGAGUUUUCUGUUGGCCUCCUUGUAGCUUCAGGUUAAAAGCAGCUUUAAAAGCAGCAGGAAUGCUGUGUUUAUUACUUUUUUUGGGUAAGGUUUUAAAUUAUUAUUUCAUUUUAUAAUGUAUAUCAAACAAAGAACAAUAAUAAUAAUAGACAAAAAUUAAAGGAACAACCAAAACUAUAAAACAGGCACAUAGAAUUAGUAGUUGCACGUCUUAGAAAUAACAAGUCUUUAUUGCUGUUGUCAAUGCAAUAGCAAGUUGUGAGAACAUAAGAGCCCUACUGCAUCAGGCCAAGUUUUUGAUUUUUGAACAGAUGUAGGCCAUCACAGUCCAGUGUAAAAGAAUAAUUAUAAAUAUUUCAAUGAACAAACAAAUGUAGAACAAUGCUCUGAAUUUACACAUCAGCUGCUAAUGCAGUAUCUUGGUCCUCAUGAUGGAUAUGGCAUUACAAUAUAAAGUUUGUAUUUCUAUUCUCACUUUGAAAAACUGCAUUUUAAAUUAUAGAGUUGUGUCCUCCACUUUUCUACCAAAUUUAAUUCUGAUAUCUGAUAUUAGAGGGUGUUACUGCAUUGUGAACAGACACACAAAUAGAAUGUGCUAUAGACAAAUUAAAGGCCACUUGCUCAGUAAUGUUAUUUGGGGAUGAAAUAGGAGAAUCAGGAAAUACUGAUCUAGCCUAUUCUGAUCCCACCAUAAUCCCACACUAUUCAUUAGUUGGGGGUAUGCUAUCCUGGAACCUUAAUUGUGGACCAAGGACAGAAAUUGUCAUCUUUCAGCCUUGGAAGGAAGUGACCAUGUCCUCUUGGGGUUCAUUAUGCAGAGGAAAGGGAAAGCCGAGUGUAAGCAGAUGUAUACUCUGGAAUUUAGGAAAGCUGAUUUCAAAAAGCUUAAGGAAAUGCUGGGUGUGAUCCCAUGGUCAAAAAUACUCAAAGAGAAGGGAGUUCACAAAGGAUGGGAGUUUCUGAAAGGUGAUAUAUUGAAUGCAGAAUUGCAAACAAUUACAACAAGAAAGAAAGUUUGGAGGUAUCUAAAGAAACCGGCGUAGCUAUAUAAUUAGUUUUUAGAUGACCUGAGAUUUAAAAGGGGAUUUUAUAAUAAGUGGAAGAAGUGGCAAAUCAUGAAGGAAGCAUAUAAAUGAGUAUCCAAAUCUUGCAGGGAAAAGAUCAGGCAGGCUAAAAUUCAGAAUGAGCUCAGGCUUGCAAGGGGUGAAAAAUAAUAAAAUGUGAAGCAAGAAGAAGAACAAGCAAUUAGGUCAGGCUUCCUCAACCUCGGCCCUCCAGAUGUUUUUGGGCUACAACUCCCAUGAUCCCUAGCUAGCAGGACCAGUGGUCAAGGAUGAUGGGAAUUGUAGUCUCAAAACAUCUGGAGGGCCAAGGCUGAGGAAGCCUGAAUUAGGUCCGCUGUGUUGAGAAGCUGGAGAAAUGCUGAGUGAUGACAGAGAGAAGGCAGAAGAACUGAAUACCUGCUUUGCCUCUGUCUUCACCUGAAAGGAAAACAGUCCCCAACUUGGUGAUAAUACAAUAAAUGAUGCAGGCAGGGAGCUGCAGCCCAAGAUAGGAAAAUAGGUGGUAAGGGAACACCCAGCUACUUUAAAUGAAUUUAAACCUCUAGGAACUGAUUAACUAUAUGCAAGGGUACUAAAAGAACUUGUAGAUGUAAUCUCAGAGCCCCUGCAAAUAAUCAUUGAGAAUUCUUAGAAAACAGAUAAGGUCUCUGUGGACUGAAGACGGGCAAAUCUUGUCCCCAUCUUUAAAAAUCGGGGGUGGGGAGAAGACCCUGGCAACUACUUGGUGUUGAUACUAAGAAAAGUUUUUGAACAGAUAAUGAAAUGGUGCAUGAUGGCUUAGAAAAGGAUACUGUGAUUUCUAAGAUUAUGAAUUUCUCAAAAGAAGUCAUGCCAAGCCAGUUCAUUUCUCUCUCUCCCUCUAGCGUUACAAGCUUCCUGGACCAGGGGAAUACUAUGGAUGUCGUGUUUGUUGAUUUCACUAAGACUUUCAACAAAGUCCCCUAUUUUCCCUUGGAGAAGCUGAUAAAAUGGAGGCAGUGGAAGACAGGAGUGCCUGGCGUGCUCUGGUCCAUGGGGUCACAAAGAGUUGGACACGACUAAACAACAACAAUACAUUGUUACUUUUAGGUGAAUUUGUAGAUGGUUGACUGAGCAAGCCAAAAAGUGUUCACCAGAGGUUCUGCAUCAUCCUGGGAAAAAGUGACAAAUGGAUGCUCAUCAAAUUUGCGGGUGACACCAAACUGGGUGGGGUAGCUAAUACCUCAGAAGAUAGGAUCAAGAUUCAAGAUAACCUUAACAGACUGGAGAACUGGGACCAAACUAACAAAAUGAAUUUCAAUAGGGACAAAUGUAAGGUUCUAAACUUAGGCAGGAAUAAUCGACUUGCACAAGUACAGAGUGGAGUACAGCUGACUUGCCUUGUGAAAAGGAUCUAGGGGUCUUUGUAGAGCACAAAUGUAACACGAGUCAACAGUGUGAUGCAGCAGCAAAAAAAAGUUAAUGGGUUUCUAGGUUGCAUCAAUAGAAGUCUAGUCCAGAUCCAGUAAUAGUCCUGCUCUAUUCUGCCUUGGUCAGACCACACCUGCAAUACUGUGUCCAGUUCUGGGCACCACAGUUUAAGAAGGAUCUCGUCAAGCUAGAACAUACGCAGAGAAGGGCAACCAAGAUGAUCAAGGGUCUGGAAACCAAGCCUUAUGAGGAACAGUUGAGGGAGUUGUGUGUUUUGAGAAGACUCUGAGGUGGUAAGAUGCCUAUCGUCAAAUACCUGAUGGGUUGUCACAUGGAAGAUGACGCAAGCUUGAUUUUCCCUACUCCAGAGGGUAGGACUGGAACUGAUGGCUUCAACUUUCAAGAAAGGAGGUUCCAAGUAAAUAUUAGGAAGAACUUUCUGAGGGUAUGAGCUGUUUGACAGUGGGAACAGACUACCUUAAAAGGUGGUGAACUCCCUUUCAUUUGAUGUCUUUAAAGAGAAGUUGGCCAUCUGUCUGGGAUUAUUUAGCUGUGAUUCCUGCAUUGCAGAGGAUUGAACUAGAUGAUCCUUGAGGUCCUUUCCAACUUUACAAUUCUAUGAUCUGUCAACGAUCGCUCAAGUCCAAGAACUGAUUACAGAAAGUUAGACUAGAUUAUCAUUGAAUGCUUCUUGAAACUGUUCAGUUGUGGCAGACCUAACACUAAUUGCUUCUGAGUAUCGGUGAUAAAGAGGGUGGAUUUAACUACAGAAUGAUGAUUCACCAUGGUGACUAACAAUCCAGAAGCCUGACCAGGAAAUCAAGUCAUAAUUUUCACCUGCCUUUAAAGACGUAUUUACAGUAAUAAAUUAUGUGCAAAUUGUCUCCAAACCUUUCUUAAAUGAUCCAGCAGUCAGACAAUGGAACUUACUACAAAAGGGUCUGAAUGUGGAUAAAAUUUUGGCAUAAAUGCAAUAUAUUAAUAGUAGAUUCCAAGUCUGUUCACAGCCCCUACAGCCUGAGACUACUUUGUGGAAGCAUGAUUUAGACAUGAAAUAUUUACACACCAACUCCAAACAGAACCAACUGAUAAACAUUUAAUUUUUGUUAGGUGACUUUAAAAAUAUGCUUCACAAAUUGAAACCUCAGUUCAAUUUAUUCAUUGCCAGGAGGCUUGUACCGCAGUGGGUUUAAAUAAGUUGUUUCAGGAUCUAUAUAAUAUAUUUUACUGGGUCACUUAGCACUGAAGACCAUAGGAAGCUUUUUUAUUUCAUGAAGUUCUUUGCAACUUAGAAGCUUGCCACUUUUACCAAAAUAAUUGUUUCAAUAAAAAUUGAGACAUAUAAUUUUAACUAUAUUAAGUUUGAUAACUGAGGCCAGGAGAACAGCUAUACACAAAACAGAUACAGUUUUUGUAUAAUGGGAAAUUACAAGGGAGUAUUGGGUUUUCCCCCCAAAUGCCUAUUUAAAAACUCAAUGUGAAAAAAAAAUUGAUGGAAUUCUCACCCCUGUUCACAGAUGGUGACACCAAACUACAAAAGUGACUUGAAUGUUGAUAUUUUACCUCUAGAAACACCUGCUCCAAUCCUGCCCAAAUGAAAGCUCAUUAUAUCUAUUGUAUAAACAAGGAGAUAAAUGCCUACUUGAGAACUGGUGAGUCAAAAUGAACUUCAACAAAUCAGCUCUUCUUCCAAUAUCGUACUAUAGCUUGCCUUUUCUUCCCUCAUCUGAAACUAGGAGGUGGCUGAGCUAGUAUUUGAAUUUGAACGACAGAAGUAUGCCCUGAACAUGCGUAUCAGAUUUUAUUUCAGUGCCACAUGAUAGCCAGCAGAAUGUGCAACUGGUCCACAGCUCUCUUGAAGACAAUUAAGUUUUCAGUGAACCAAAAUCUAGGUUUUCAAAAGUUUCCAGUGUUACGGAAAUGACAGGGGUGGGGCACAUCUUUAAAGUUGUUACAAUGUUACAAAUAUUAUGUCAAUGUAUCUUUUUAACUUGACAGCUCAGGAAAGAUACCUAGUUUUAUAAAUUCAUAUAAAAUCAGUAUUUUGACCGAUUCUCUUCAUUCCAAUGCCAUUUUGGCGUUAGAGGAAAGGACUCCUUUACCUUUCUCUCCUGCCAUAAUCCCUCAAGCGUGAGGGCACAUACACAACACCCUGGGUGCUCUUAUACAACAAACUACAAGAAGGAAGAUAAACAAACUGGACUUUUUUUGAAGUAAGGAAAGUUAUACAAAAAAAUGCACAGGGAAGUGGUGGGAUUACAGUUGCAGCAUCAUAUAACUCCCAGCCAAAAAUAAAUUGGGACACUCUGAACAACAAGCAACACGCCAGCUAAUAAUAUACUGACAAUAUUUUUAUAACACUAUACUGUUUCAAAAUUCAUAAACAGAAGACAUAUAAUAUGUGCAUGGAGUCACAAACUAAUAAGAAUCAAAUAAAUGUUCCAUGAACAGGAAUGGUAGGAGUGGUAGGUUGCUGUCAAAGAUCACUGAAAUGGAGGCAAAAUGCCUUUCCACAGUCAACAUCCUACAAACGUGAGAUGCUGGGUGAUGCAAACUUCGCAAUAGGGUGCUCCAAGCACAGCAGCAGACUACACUUCUUCCAGGAUAAUGAACUGUUUCAAUGAUAAAUCUUCACCAGCAAAUUAAUAGUCCCCGAAGUACAUCAAAU
rnacentral:lncRNA from 1 species